rnacentral:rRNA from 1 species
UACGAAGGGGGCUAGCGUUGCUCGGAAUCACUGGGCGUAAAGGGUGCGUAGGCGGGUCUUUAAGUCAGGGGUGAAAUCCUGGAGCUCAACUCCAGAACUGCCUUUGAUACUGAAGAUCUUGAGUUCGGGAGAGGUGAGUGGAACUGCGAGUGUAGAGGUGAAAUUCGUAGAUAUUCGCAAGAACACCAGUGGCGAAGGCGGCUCACUGGCCCGAUACUGACGCUGAGGAGCGAAAGCAUGGGGAGCGAACAGG